CCCUCCAACGAAACGUAGCCACCCACCAUCUAGUUUCAUCAGCCCACACUUCCAAACCCCACCAAGUAGUUUCCACAGCAACCCUCUGCUUUAUUGAUUCAUCCCUCAGUUGUUUUAAUGCAUUGACAUUAGAGGUCGACACUUACAUUUUUUACACUCAAAAAUGCAGGCCCGUUAUUUACUGUUUUAUCUUGGAGUUUUACUGCUUUAUGCGGUUGGACAUGAGUACAACAGCGAGGAAAAGGAAAAGUACCUAAAUGCUGUCAUGACAAGUGGACUUUUGAUGUACCCCUUUUGAAAACUUUAUAAUUAUUUCUGGCACAAUUUCUUAAAUUGUAACGUGUUUCUACUAAAUAAAAUGGUGAUUUAAUUUUUGA